CAAAAAUCCAAGUUUUUAUCAUAGAACCAGGGAUGGUGUCAAGCAAGUUGGUAUCAAAAGGGGUUAAAGUUGAUGUAAUUUAAAACAAACCUUACCUCAUCAAUUAAUGCUGCUAAUUUCUUACUGUAUGGUUUUGUUUUCAUCCCCUUUUCUUGUUCAUUUGGAAAUGACAAAUAUCCAAGACGU